rnacentral:rRNA from 1 species
CUAAUACCGGAUGUGAUGCAGGGCUCUUCGGAGUGCUGCAGGAAAAGAUCCGCAAGGGUCACUGAAGGACGAGCCUGCGGCCCAUCAGCUAGUUGGCGAGGUAAUGGCUCACCAAGGCGAAGACGGGUAGCUGGUCUGAGAGGAUGAUCAGUCACACUGGAACUGAGACACGGUCCAGACUCCUACGGGAGGCAGCAGUGGGGAAUAUUGCGCAAUGGGCGAAAGCCUGACGCAGCCACGCCGCGUGAGCGAUGAAGGCCUUCGGGUCGUAAAGCUCUGUGGGGGGAGAAGAAAAAAGCCGGUGAAGAGCCGGCCCUGACGGUAUCCCCUUAGCAAGCACCGGCUAACUCCGUG